ACUAAACACUUUCUUUGUUUUAUCUCAUAGUUUGUUUCUUCUGAUAAGUGCUUACGAUCCUAUAAAAAUUUUCUCACAAUUUUAAAUACUGAGUCUAUUUCUAAUAUAGUGCUUGAAAAAUUAUUUUGUGAAAAAUAAAAGAAUGUUGUGAUUAUAGAAAUGCAUGCACUUGAUAAAAAUCAUACAUGAAAAAUUAUGGAUCUACCUAAAGGUAAGAAAUAUGUAGGAUGCAGAUAGGUUUUUACUAUCAAAUACAAGACAGAUGGGAC
rnacentral:lncRNA from 1 species